UAGCUACUCUUUAGAGGUAUGAUGGAUCUCCCCACAAAGUCUGGUUCAGGUGUCAAGACCUACACACCAAGAAACGAUGAGAAGAAUUAUCAUUCACAUGAGACUUUCUGGGGCAAGCAGAGUGGCUACCAAACAGGUCUUAAAAUGGCUUGAGAAAUCCAGGUAAGGAGAUUGAGAUUUGAAGUUCAGGAUAGAAAACAGCAUCAAUAUUAUCAGAAUGCACAAGCCACGAACCCCAUUGCCAGACUGCUUGUUACAUGGCAGGUACACAAUUAUAUUUAUAAUAUAAAAAAUGAAUGAUUGAGCAAAUAAAAAUAAAAACAACUAAGAGUGGAGAAU
rnacentral:lncRNA from 10 species